GGGCAGCCUCGUCACCCCCGCGGGACCGUGACCCCCGGAGGGAACCCACUGCCUGGGGGUGACAUGGACCCCUCGGGAGCGCCUGAUCCCUCGGAGGGGCCUCGCUGCUGUGGUGUCCCUGAUCCCCAGGGUCUCUGUCUGUGGUGACAGAGCCGGGCUGACCUGUGGCUCCCUGAGGGGCUGCUGGGCCUUCCCCUGCCCCGAAGGAUUCCUCCUGUCCCGUCAGACCUCUCCGUGUCCCCAGAGCCACUCGCAGGCCGGGGGCUGCCCCGCACAAAGCGGUUUGGGAAGGACAGCUCCGUGUUGGAGUCAAAACCCAGCUCUGCCCUGGGGGAUUCGCUGAUCCAGGCACCUCCAUGGCAUCUCCCACCUGAGCUCUUGAUGGUCAGGGAUCAGCUGAGCCUUGCACUGCCCUCCCAUUGCUGCAGCUCUCACAGGGACAGCUGAGGAAGCCAAGGAUGAGAAAGAGACCUGUGCAAGGUCCCUGAGGCCAAUACCGACCCCGUUAGGAACAGAUCCAGGGCUCCUGCACCUCCAGAUGGGUUCCUGUGGGACCACUAAGAUACCAUGCAAGAAACUGCCUCAUUUCUGGUUUGCACCUCAGAGCCACUGCCAGUAGAAGACAGCCAGGGUGUCCCCAUUCUUCAGCUAUGACCAGAUUUUGGAGCUUCCCAAGAGCACAGGCUGCCACGUGGGGGGACAGCAGGAGGCCAGGAGCCUCUGUCAGGACAGAAAUGUUUUCCCAAGGCAUGGGAAUCAUGACUCCAGGUUUGGGGGCUGGUUUCAGCUCUGCAGCCUGUGCUCCCUGCUGCCUCUUCCCUUCCCCACCCCCGGAGAAGCAGAGCAGCACAAAACCAAGCCAGCAAAAAUCACAUCCAAAAGCUUAUUUCUGGUUUGCUUUCAACCAACCUGUAAUCACUCCUAGCAAGACAAAUAACCACGGAGGACUGAAGCAGAGUCUGCUGCCCCCAGCCAGCAUGGGGUGAGUGGGGCCCAGGCUGUACCCGAGCAUCCCGUGAGGACCUCAGCACUCUGCUCCUCACUGCCCCAGCUCUGCUGAGCACAUCGUGUUCAUCACUGGAGAAAAAAGAGCAAUGCUUCAGAUUCUCCAAAAGGGAGUGUUUUCACACCACCUCCCAGGCAUGAAUUAACUAUCUGGGGUGUUUGUUCUCCCCAUCCUCUGCUUGGGAGGGGCUUUUCUGCUUCAAAUCCCCCCGUGUGUGUGCCCUUCCAGGCUGGCUCUCAGGAACACUCCCACUGGCAGCCUGCUGGGGUUUCUGUUUGCAUCAGGAGGUGCUGCAGCACGUGCACACAGAAUCAUUUCACUCAGAUAGAAAUCUACACAAAUAAAGGGAGCUCUUGCAUGGGAGAUAUUUUCCACCUUACACACACUUCCCCUGCCUGAAUGCUGCACCCUGGGAUCAGUCACAGACUGUACCUGUGCAUCUUCACUCUACAUGCAGAUUAAUCCCUCAGACAACACUGAGUCACUAUUUAAAGGUGAAGGUCCCCAAAAGAAACAUUCAGCAGGACUGUCACAGGUGGGACAGGACACGUUUGGGCACUUCAAAGCUUAGUCCUAAAAAAAAUAAUAAUUUUACAACUUAAGAGGAUGUUUUCAAAAUGACCCUUUUCUUCCCAAACAAUCUGAGCUUUGAUGAUUUUGCAACAAAGUAAGAUUAGUCACGACUAAUCCUGGCUGGAUCAUACCGUGCUAGGGAUUAGGAGAAAGAGGUCCUGGCUGACAGGGCCAGGGCAGUGUGAGGGAUAAGUUGAGCACACUCAGACACCCCCAUCCUGGCUCACACCCUGAAUAUUUGCAUUAUUCUCCAGUGGAAAACCCCAUUUUUCACCACUCUCAUUUUGAGAAUGAAAGCUUGUCAUCUUGCACUGGUUGUUUUUUGGUUUUUUAAAGCAACUUUGCCAUUUCCUUCCCAGUAAUUUAUUUCCUACAUCAUGUUUAAUGAUUCUCCACAUACACAUUUUGCCAG